UGAGAACCAAGUGGUGGAUGAACACAGCUGCCAGACAGGGUUUCAAUGAGCCAUGAAGGGGCAAAUAAGCAGGAGAAGGUUGAGACAGGAAGAAAAGGGCAUAAAACAGUGGAAGUGUAUGUAAGAACUUCCAUUUCCAGAGGGAAACAGGAUUCACUACACUUGCCUUUGAUUACGCUUUGUCUACCGGGUGCUUGUUUCUCUCCUCUGCCAAUUCAAAUUAUGUGACAUCUACCAAGAAGAAAGUCAAGUCCUACUCUCUUCUCUCCAUUGCAGCUUCAGAGCAUAUGACAGCUCUGUUGAUGGCUGGAGGCAGACCUGCAAACAUUCUGGGGCUGACAAGCCAAAACAGUAUUGCAAAGACAAAGAGAAUCAACUUUUAAUUUAUGUAUCACUUUGGAUUUUUCCCACUGCCAAUCAGAUUUCUGGGCGAGAGCUCCUCAUGAAUUUUCUGACAGCUACAUGGAUCACAUGGGACAAUCAGACCAUCCCUGAAGUGUUGUGCUCCCUUCUGGAAAGCGUCCCUUAAAGAUGUGGACGAAAUGGAGUAUGCCCAGAAGAAGAAAUGGGAUGAUAAGAGAUUUGAGAAACCACAUCACAAGAUAAAAAAUUGAAGACCAGAGAAAUCAAGGAAAUAUAAUUACAUCAGGAGCACAACAAGAUGGUGGAAAAGAAGGCUACACCAUUCAUCCCUUCCCCCAGCCAGGAAUAUCAAAUUUUAACAUCUGCACACAGAAAAGCACCACAAGAAGAAGCAAAAAUGAGGUGAGCUGAUAAGAAAGCCUGAGCACUCCUUCCCUUGGCACCACCAGGAAAUGCCAAACCACAAAAAUUUCUGCUCACACACAGGAAUCCUCAUCCCAGCCCCAUCCCUGGACCAUAAUAAAAUCCAAAGUUACUGGCCCUUUCCCUUACUCAAGCCAUUUCAGACUGGUUUGGGUGUCUGCCCUGCUCUCCCCCAAAAGUCCAAUUAUGUGAAUAAUAAAACUUUUUAGACCCUCUUAAUGUGUGUGUGUGUGAGAUAGAGAGAGAUCAGUCUCAAUCAACAUCUGAACCAAUUUUGAGUAGGGGGUUGGUCCUGCUCUCCAUGGGGCAACCACUAAACAAUUGGUACUGGAAGUAGGAUUGUGCAUCAUAUCACUACGCACUUAUCAGAAUGUCUAAAAUAAAAAAAAAAAUAGUGAUAACACCAAAUGCUGGCAAUGAUGCCAAGAAAUUAGAGCACUCAUACAUUGCCAGUGGGAAUGUAAAAUGGUACAACCAAUGGAAAACAGUAUGGUAGUUUCUUCUAAAAAAAUAAACAUGUGCUUACUGUGCAACCUAGCUAUUGCAUUCUUGGGCAUUUAACCCAGAAAAAAGAAAACUUAUAUCCACACAAAGACUUGUAAUAAAAUAGCCAUAGCACCUUUAUUGAUAAUAGCCUCAAACUCGAAACAACCCAAAUGUCCAUCAACUGAUGAAUGGAUAAACAAAAUAUGGUGUAUCUAUACCAUGGAAUGGUGUAAAAAGAACGAACUAUCAAUACCAUGCAACAAGUUAAAUGGAUCUCAAGAAAAUUAUGCUGAGCUAAAAUAAAUAAAUAAGGUAAACAAAAAGGUUACAUCCUGUAUGAUUUUAUUUAUAUAACAUUUUUGAAAUGACUCAAUUAUAGAGAUGGAGAACAGAUUACUGGUUGCCAAGGUUUGGGGUUGGGGUGGAGAUGGGGCAUGGAAGGGAGGUGAGUGUGGUUAUAAAAGAGCAGUACAAGGGAUCCUUGUUACAGAACUCUUCUGUAUCUUGACUGUGGUGGUGGUCACACUAUUCUACACAUAAUGAUAAAAUUGCAAAGAACAAAAUACACACACACAACGACUGCCUGUAAAACUGGAGAAAUAUGAAUAAGGUUAAAUGGAUUGUAUAAAUGUCAAUUCGCUGGCUGUGAUAUUCUACUAUAGUUAUGCAAGAUGUUACCACUGAGGGAAACUGGGUGAUGGGUGUAAGGAAUUUAUCUGUAUUAUUUCUUAAAACUGCAUGUGAAUAUACAGUUAUCUCAAAAUAAAAAGUAAAAACAAAAUCUCUCCCAAUGUCUAG
rnacentral:lncRNA from 1 species